AUACAGAGGGUGCGAGCGUUAAUCGGAAUUACUGGGCGUAAGGCGCGCGUAGGCGGCUUGGUCAGUCGGAUGUGAAAGCCCUGGGCUCAACCUGGGAAUUGCAUUCGAUACUGCCAAGCUAGAGUAUGGGAGAGGGAAGUGGAAUUUCCGGUGUAGCGGUGAAAUGCGUAGAUAUCGGAAAGAACACCAGUGGCGAAGGCGACUUCCUGGCCCAAUACUGACGCUGAGGUGCGAAAGCGUGGGGAGCGAACAGGAUUAGAAACCCUAGUAGUCC
rnacentral:rRNA from 1 species